ACGGGAAAUAUGACCCCCUCUGUGGUAUUGUAUGUAGUGUAAACAUGGCCACUGUAUUUCUUAUAUUGCUUUGGCAUAGUCACGACAGCUUCAAUUGUGCGAUUAUUAUUACACAGUGCACACCUGUCCCAGGGAAGCCGGAUUCUGAUUUAGUGUGCAAACUGGAGGUGAUUUGCAGGGUCCCCCUUACAUGACAUUAAGACUGUAAUCAGAGCUUCGUGAGGAGAGGUCCAUACUGAAGAUCAUAUUUGACAAAAGCGGGAUGAUGCGAUGGGAGAGAAGAAGAGAAAAUACAACCGAGGUCGGGGGGGGAAAAAACAGAAAAAAGAGGUAAAGGGUGCUUAGUGGUUUGCUGAAGCUGCCAUCCCCCCCUCUUCUGAUGGUCAAGACAUUAAAAGAAGCUAAAGAGAGGAGAGACAAAAAAAAAAGAUGUGGCCGUUAGAGAAGCACAAAUCUGGCGUGAGGAGGAGAAAAGUGUUGAUUAGAAUGCACGUGAUUGUCUCCAACAUUGUCAUCCAAGUGGAAAAUGUGUUAAUCACAGAAACAGGAGAGGAAGCAAAAAGUGGGGAUUAACAUAAAAAGGACCCAGGAAAAGGGAUUUCUUAAAAAAAAAAAAAAAGUGCUGGAAUUUGAGGACGGUCCCUUACUCGGUGCAGAACCAGGGAGAACUGCAAAGGAAAUACACACAAACCAGUAAAGGGAGGACCUCUGGGAAGGACCCCAGCGUCUGCAUUUCAUCUCAUCAAUGAAGUCAGGAAAUAUAGACAGCAAGCGCACCUUCUUACACACGUCACCACGGAGCAGAGAGGGAGCGGCAUGGGUAAUGUUUGCUGUGGUGCUAGCGGAGCCGUGCGAGUGGUAAUACAAGAGAAAGAAGGUGCGGAUCUGGUAACAAAUGAAGGAAGAUUUAAUUCCCAAGAAAAACAGCAAGGGGUCCAUCGUCUGGCGGUGGUUUGGCUUCAAGUGGGAAUAUGUCGAACAGACAACCGUAAUUUGUCAAGGUGGUGCUAAAGCAUUGCUACAAAAAGUAGCAUUACUGCUAAUAUGUAGCAUCAUUUGAAAAGUCACGUGCUAGAGAAUGAAGAGUGCUUACUCCGCAUGUCAACAUCUCUAUUCGGUGCCACACGCCCACAAAAUCAUGCACAAAAGUACACUUUAUUUGUUUUUAACUAUUGGAGUGGCGUUCCGUACAAAAAGUGCACUUUAAUUUAGUGUUGUUUUGCUAUGUCAUCUUAGUGACAUCAUGCACAAAAGUGCACUCAUAGCUUGUUUUAAAAUGUCUCUGACAAUCUUGCACUUUCUGUUUUGGAAAUGACAUGAAUGUUUGUGCCACUGCUUAAUAACUUUAAUAAAUACAGUUUUGGUCAA